rnacentral:tRNA from 1 species
GGGGGAUUAGCUCAAAAGUAGAGUGUCGCAUUGACAUUGCGAAGGUAGUUGGAGCGUUACCAACAUUCCCCACCA